UCUUUCGGCCUUUCGACCUUCUGUUCAAAGUAUUUUUUAGGGUUAUCUCUCUUAGUCAUUGAAAGUAAUUGUUUGUGUAAGCAUUUUCUGUGCGAUUGAGUUAGCUAUGCAAGUGCAGAAAAUUUCAAGUUUGUUGUCGCUCAGAAUUACUUUCUUCGAGCAACAGAGGUUGAUUUACAGAGGCUGGAUUUUGAAGGACGACCAAACCCUAGAUAGCUAAGGACUACUUUUUAGGCGGACAUGACGAAGAAGGAUUCUAAUUUCAUUGAGUUGCUCGAGGGCGAGCUCAGAAGUUCAGAAGGAUUUUUAAUAGAGAAAAAGGAAGAGUACAUCAUCGUCAAUGUCAUGCUGCAUUUAAGUUUUGGGCCUAGGUGCCCAUAGUAUUGUUUUUAUUUAUUGCUAUAGAAACUAUUGAAAUUCUAAUGCUUUUCAGAAUCAUUAGGAGGCUCUCUUUUCUAACAUCCAAUUGCCAACCGAUUUGGACGCAAAUAGCCAUCAGCCUUUAGGUGAAUAAGUCUUGACUUUCCAGAUCUCCCUUUGCUAGGUGGAACCAUCAAUUGGGUUAACAGGACUCAUCAACACUUGCCAAAUGCAUGGCCCAACCGUGGGUUGAAUAGCUCAUGUGUCCUGCGAUGCUCUCAACUAAUUUUUAACGGUGUCCAAUCGGGGCUCUGAAAGCUCAUCACUCUUGCACUAUUUUGUUUUACAGUUACAUCAUUAGUCGUGGGAUUAAAUGUCAAAUCAUCUACAUAUUCACUCUGUCGUUUUGAUGAACUCCAGGAGCGCUAGCCUAUGAGUUAUGACUACGAUUAACUCCAAAUCCAUUUCAGUGGCAGUUGAAUAUCUACAACUUUAAAGAGCACAUACUUGCUUUAAAAA